rnacentral:rRNA from 1 species
GAUAACCUACCUAUAAGACUGGGAUAACUUCGGGAAACCGGAGCUAAUACCGGAUAAUAUUUUGAACCGCAUGGUUCAAAAGUGAAAGACGGUCUUGCUGUCACUUAUAGAUGGAUCCGCGCUGCAUUAGCUAGUUGGUAAGGUAACGGCUUACCAAGGCAACGAUGCAUAGCCGACCUGAGAGGGUGAUCGGCCACACUGGAACUGAGACACGGUCCAGACUCCUACGGGAGGCAGCAGUAGGGAAUCUUCCGCAAUGGGCGAAAGCCUGACGGAGCAACGCCGCGUGAGUGAUGAAGGUCUUCGGAUCGUAAAACUCUGUUAUUAGGGAAGAACAUAUGUGUAAGUAACUGUGCACAUCUUGACGGUACCUAAUCAGAAAGCCACGGCUAACUACGUGCCAGCAGCCGCGGUAAUACGUAGGCCCCAAGCGUUAUCCGGAAUUAUUGGGCGUAAAGCGCGCGUAGGCGGUUUUUUAAGUCUGAUGUGAAAGCCCACGGCUCAACCGUGGAGGGUCAUUGGAAACUGGAAAACUUGAGUGCAGAAGAGGAAAGUGGAAUUCCAUGUGUAGCGGUGAAAUGCGCAGAGAUAUGGAGGAACACCAGUGGCGAAGGCGACCCCCUGGUCUGUAACUGACGCUGAUGUGCGAAAGCGUGGGGAUCAAACAGGAUUAGAUACCCUGGUAGUCCACGCCGUAAACGAUGAGUGCUAAGUGUUAGGGGGUUUCCGCCCCUUAGUGCUGCAGCUAACGCAUUAAGCACUCCGCCUGGGGAGUACGACCGCAAGGUUGAAACUCAAAGGAAUUGACGGGGACCCGCACAAGCGGUGGAGCAUGUGGUUUAAUUCGAAGCAACGCGAAGAACCUUACCCCCUCUUGACAUCCUUUGACAACUCUAGAGAUAGAGCUUUCCCCUUCGGGGGACAAAGUGACAGGUGGUGCAUGGUUGUCGUCAGCUCGUGUCGUGAGAUGUUGGGUUAAGUCCCGCAACGAGCGCAACCCUUAAGCUUAGUUGCCAUCAUUAAGUUGGGCACUCUAAGUUGACUGCCGGUGACAAACCGGAGGAAGGUCCCGAUGACGUCAAAUCAUCAUGCCCCUUAUGAUUUGGGCUACACACGUGCUACAAUGGACAAUACAAAGGGCAGCGAAACCGCGAGGUCAAGCAAAUCCCAUAAAGUUGUUCUCAGUUCGGAUUGUAGUCUGCAACUCGACUACAUGAAGCUGGAAUCGCUAGUAAUCGUAGAUCAGCAUGCUACGGUGAAUACGUUCCCGGGUCUUGUACACACCGCCCGUCACACCACGAGAGUUUGUA